UCAUUUUGUAUUUACGGUUUGAUGCCAAGCAGUCGUCCAGCAUUUUGUGGCCCGCCGCCACCAGUCCCACCGCUCCCAGCACUCCCAGGAGCAGAAGAAGCCUUUAUGGUGGUAAAGGGGCAAAGGUCACCGGAGGCCCAUAAAGCCAAGUAGAUAAAUAUUGUUGGUUAUAAAAUCAAGGUGGAUUUAGACAAUAAAAGUCUGCUCGUAAACCAUUGUCACCACUUUUUGAAAAAGCCCGUCCUUACCCAGCCGGAUGCGCAAAUCGAAUUAGUGCUCAUGUUGUAGAAGACCACUGGCUUUAACCGCAUGGAGAGUCGAAAUGUUGGCCUUUCUUAAAGUCGUGUGUGGAAACAGAUUGAGGUCUUUGUGUUCAAAAACAUCAUUUGCAUGUUUAUAUGCUCUCUAAUUGCAUGGUUUAUAUGGCAACACUUUGGCCAUAACUGAGGAGACUGUAAUCUAACAAUUCUGAGUUUCUGUAGUUGAUAUGAAUGGUGUCACAUUUAAGAUGAUGAAGAAUGCUUCAGUUUCACCUAAUUCCAUUUCUGUAUGCUACAUCAUGAGUGUGAUUUAUAUUUUAAACAUAAUUUAUGUAGAGGCUAAUUUAAAAACACAAAUAAUCUCAUGUUACACCAAGCAUUUGCUCCAUCUGCACUGAAUUUGACCAUGUGGAAUGGUUGGAGUGGCUCCAACUGAUGGAAGCCUGACCUAUUUUUUGUCCAUUUCAUUAAUAAAUAUUUAUCCAUG